CGGGUGAGUAAUACAUAAGCAACCUGCCCGCGAAGGACUGGGGAUAAUUCCUGAAACGGGGACGUAAUACCGGAUAGGUAGUGUGAUCGCAUGAUCGCACUAUAAAGGUUCAAGACACUGGUGGAUGGGCUUAUGGCGCAUUAGCUGGUUGGUGAGGUAACGGCCCACCAAGGCGAUGAUGCGUAGCCGGCCUGAGAGGGUGAACGGCCACAUUGGGACUGAGACACGGCCCAGACUCCUACGGGAGGCAGCAGUAGGGAAUUUUCGGCAAUGGGCGCAAGCCUGACCGAGCAACGCCGCGUGAGUGAAGACGGCCUUCGGGUUGUAAAGCUCUGUUGUAAGGGAAGAAUUGGCAUGAGAGAAUCGUGCAGUGACGGUACCUUACCAGAAAGCCACGGCUAACUACGUGCCAGCAGCGGC
rnacentral:rRNA from 1 species